rnacentral:misc_RNA from 1 species
UGAUUUUCAAAAAAAGAAAAAAACAAAAAGAUUUUGACUUUCUAAGCAUUAUUCUCAAGUGUUCCUCAUAAUUUCUUUUUAAUUAACAUCCACUAAAAUUUAAACAUUUAUGAUAUCUGUCAGGGAUCCUUAAUUAGUUAUGCAUCAUUAGGUUAGAGUUUUUGCAACGAAAUCGACGGGUAGGCCAACCACCUCCAUCAAUGGGCAGCUCCGUCGUGUUUGAGCAAGAACCCAUCCUCCCUCUUCCUCUCCCCAGGUGAUCACAGAUGUGCAUGCGAAUAUGAUCUGCUGAUGAAACCCUUCUCUCCAUUUCAUGUCUCUGCACUCUUCUCCUAAGGUUUUGCCUCUUAAUAAUGGAGCUCAAAGUUUCCUUGCUAUUUCUUUCUCUGCUGUUAAAAUGGAUAAUUGGCACCGGCAUCGCCUCUAGACCCAUCAACUUGGCUACCACUCCAGGCUUGCACCAAACCACUGUUUCCCCUGCCAAAGUUUGUGGCAGCAAAUUUGGUCCUGAUGAUGGCGAUGAUGAUGAUUUCCUGAAGGAAGAUCGAUACAUAGCAUCUCUCCCAUCAAGGGAAAAUCGAGGGUAUUGAUUCAAUGCAGCGUUUCUUGCAGAUCGUAAUAUGUCAGAACUGCUUACACAUGACAUUCUACCACCUCUCAUGCCAUGAUCGAGCUUAACUUUUCUUGAAAUCUCCUCUUCUAACUCUAACUGCAAGAUCAUCUCCUCUAACGUUGGAGAAGGAAUGGCGCUAGUACUUGCAGUAUGAUUGUAGAAAUCACUAUUAUUAUUAGGCGGAGAAGUCUUUUGAUUGAGGAUAGAUGUUGAGCCGUCGCCAUUGCAAAUAUUUCUAAUCCCUUUCCUCAUUUUGGAUGCUACAGAGUUCUUGAGGAGGAAAAAGGAGAGAUCUUUCAUGGGGUUAGUACGCUGUUGUUUAAGAAAAAGAGAGGAUCGCAAAUAGCUAGGAGCAUGUGGUGGGGCUUUAAGGACUGACGAGGAGUAGUUGAUCAUAGAUGGAACGUGAAUGGGAGCGAGCGGUGUGGCCUUUCAAUUCUCUUUUAAUAUCAUUCACAUGACAGACACACAGGAGAAGCUAAGGGGUAAGAGCAUUCACAAGGUUCUUCCCAUUUCUAUACCUGCAAAACCUUUCGUCAAACACAUAAAAUACAUGUUCCCGUGCCUUUAAUUAAUGAUUCCAUUUUCAAGUAUUUG